AGCUUGAUCUAACAGGUUGGGGGGGGUGAGACAAGAACGAAGCAACGUCAGCAGUAGCUGGAACAGUAUUAAUCCAGACACCACGCUCGCUACAUCUCUCCAGCCACCACCCACCACCGACCCCUCGAGUGUACGCAGCCCAGUGUCCGUCUGUGUCUUGUCGUGGGCGUGACGUUCAGCAGCGGCAGGAACAGCAACGGGAAGCUUGAUCUACGUGGGUCUUCGUGCGGCGAGGUGACGUGCCGCUGCUGUGAGAUUAUCGGACCACACCACAGCACAGCACAGCACAGAGGAGGAGAGGCGUUGACGAUCCAAAGGCCUGACUCCACAGCGGUAAUGAGCCUCGUCUACCUUGCACUUUGACGGACAACGCUCACUACCAACACUUCUAGAAGCCUCCGCCACCGCCGUAAGAUUGCAUCGCGCACGGUCUACUCUUAACGACCGCCACCGCCGCUGCCGCCGUUGAGGGAGACUGACUGGCUGGAUGAGUGGGUGAUAGAGGCGAGGCAGGUGUGGUGAGGCGGAGGAUUGGAGACGAGAACCUACAGAUGACGGCAGACACGGAAGAUUCCACUAACCAGGAGUUGGUGAUCCGAAGCCGUGACUGCAGCGAUCCCGUGCGUCCUGCACCAUCAAGGAAAGGACUCUCUGGCUUCGCACUGGGCCUACAUUGACCGUUGCCGCCGCCGCUGCUACCGCUACUCGGAGGGGCACUGCCUCGCAUUGGGCCUUCACUGCCGUCCCGCUAAUACACGUGUCGCCGUCGCAGCUACUGGCACUGAGGGACUUCGCCUCGCAGCGGCCUGGCAAACACCUGCUACACCACCACCACUAACUCCACCGCAGUCCAGAGAUUCAGCUUCGCAUAGCAGACAUCCUCCUAUUCAACGCUUGCUGCCACUACCACCUCAUUAUGGUGGUGUCACUGUACUUGGAUCUGUUGUCACUACUGAAUAAUAAUGUGUAAAAA
rnacentral:lncRNA from 1 species